AUUGAACGCUGGCGGAAUGCUUUACACAUGCAAGUCGAACGGUAGAGGGGGCAACCCCUCGAGAGUGGCGAACGGGUGAGUAAUAUAUCGGAACGUGCCCAGUCGUGGGGGAUAAUGUAGCGAAAGUCACGCUAAUACCGCAUACGAUCUAAGGAUGAAAGCGGGGGAUCGCAAGAACUCGCCCGAUUGGAGCGGCCGAGAUCAGAUAAGGUAGUUGGUGGGGUAAAGGCGCACCAAGCCAACGAUCUGUAGCUGGUCUGAGAGGACGACCAGCCACACUGGAACUGAGACACGGUCCAGACUCCUACGGGAGGCAGCAGUGGGGAAUUUUGGACAAUGGACGCAAGUCUGAUCCAGCCAUUCCGCGUGCAGGAUGAAGGCCCUCGGGUUGUAAACUGCUUCUGUACGGAACGAAAAGGUCUCUCUUAAUACGGGGGACUCAUGACGGUACCGUAAGAAUAAGCACCGGCUAACUACGUGCCAGCCGCCGCGGUAAGAC
rnacentral:rRNA from 1 species